GAUGAACGCUGGCGGCGUGCCUAAUACAUGCAAGUCGAGCGAACGGACGAGAAGCUUGCUUCUCUGAUGUUAGCGGCGGACGGGUGAGUAACACGUGGAUAACCUACCUAUAAGACUGGGAUAACUUCGGGAAACCGGAGCUAAUGCCGGAUAAUAUUUUGAACCGCAUGGUUCAAAAGUGAAAGACGGUCUUGCUGUCACUUAUAGAUGGAUCCGCGCUGCAUUAGCUAGUUGGUAAGGUAACGGCUCACCAAGGCAACGAUGCAUAGCCGACCUGAGAGGGUGAUCGGCCACACUGGAACUGAGACACGGUCCAGACUCCUACGGGAGGCAGCAGUAGGGAAUCUUCCGCAAUGGGCGAAAGCCUGACGGAGCAACGCCGCGUGAGUGAUGAAGGUCUUCGGAUCGUAAAACUCUGUUAUUAGGGAAGAACAUAUGUGUAAGUAACUGUGCACAUCUUGACGGUACCUAAUCAGAAAGCCACGGCUAACUACGUG
rnacentral:rRNA from 1 species